rnacentral:rRNA from 1 species
UACGUAGGGAGCAAGCGUUGUCCGGAAUCAUUGGGCGUAAAGCGCGCGUAGGUGGCCCCAUAAGUCCGCUGUGAAAGUUAAAGGCUCAACCUUUGAAAGCCGGUGGAUACUGUGGGACUAGAGUACGGAAGAGGCGAGUGGAAUUCCUGGUGUAGCGGUGAAAUGCGUAGAGAUCGGGAGGAACACCAGAGGCGAAGGCGGCGACCUGGACAGGUACUGACACUCAACUACGAAAGCGUGGGGAGCAAACAGG